rnacentral:rRNA from 1 species
AUUGAACGCUGGCGGCAUGCCUUACACAUGCAAGUCGAACGGUAACAGGUCUUCGGAUGCUGACGAGUGGCGAACGGGUGAGUAAUACAUCGGAACGUGCCUAGUAGUGGGGGAUAACUACUCGAAAGAGUGGCUAAUACCGCAUGAGAUCUACGGAUGAAAGCAGGGGAUCGCAAGACCUUGUUCUUCUAGUGCGGCCGAUGGCAGAUUAGGUAGUUGGUGGGAUAAAAGCUUACCAAGCCGACGAUCUGUAGCUGGUCUGAGAGGACGAUCAGCCACACUGGGACUGAGACACGGCCCAGACUCCUCCGGGAGGCAGCAGUGGGGAAUUUUGGACAAUGGGCGAAAGCCUGAUCCAGCAAUGCCGCGUGCAGGAUGAAGGCCUUCGGGUUGUAAACUGCUUUUGUACGGAACGAAAAGCCCCGGGUUAAUACCCUGGGGCCAUGACGGUACCGUAAGAAUAAGCACCGGCUAACUACGUGCCAGCAGCCGCGGUAA